UCUGGACUAACCAAUGAUUAUUUUUACUUAUUUAUGACAGUUUUUCACCAAAAGGAAUUUGAGGCAGCUUGCAAAAUUGAUUAAUAGGAUUGGAAAACAGACUUCAGAGCCAAACUUGGAUUUUAUCUGGAAGAAAGUUUCACCACAGCACACAGCUAUUGUGACCAGGAGAGACGGUGUGCUUCUGUGAACACAGGAUGUGCAGGCGGCAUCCUGGACUCCUUCACCUUCAGUGUUAAUAGAGGAGGUGGUCCCAGACACCAUGGGAAGGCAGCUGCUGCAGACCUGGGGGCUGUCUCCUUCUCCCUGGAGCUCCAUGGCUACUGGGCUCGGCUUCAGACACAGGUAAGUUGCUUGUGUUCCUCAGCUGGG
ensembl:lncRNA